CUGACAUCAAGCAAAUGUAAUUGAUACCGAAAUUGUUUUUAUGAGAAAUUGUGACUUGAAAGCUAGGGACAACAGCUAUAAGGCUACAUACAUUUUAAAAUAACUGUCUACUACUUAAUCUAGAACUCUAGCUUCUGAAUAAGGUUUUGAUUUAGGCUCCAAAUAUGAAACGCAUGUGUCGACUAUAUUUGAAAUAGCAUCUGGUAGUUAAAAUGUUUAACAUAGACAGCAGUGAGAUGCUUGAUUAUUUGUGGUCAAAAUAUACAGUAUAAUAAUUAUAGUAAACAAAAUCUAUAUUUACAAGAAUAAUAUUCACAU